rnacentral:lncRNA from 1 species
GUACACUGGGCUCUCAACGUGGUGUGGAAGGUAGCCUGUUACAGUGCUGGAUUCAUAAAAGGGCCUUUAUGGUUUGUGAAAGAAUAUCUGUGUGCUUAGGGAGGAAACUUUUUGAUCUGCAGAAAAGCCAGAAGACAUCUAGGUAAGGCUACGAUAUCAAAUCUACUUUUUUGGGGGAAAGUUGGGCAGUGAGACUGCUUAAUCGCAACCAAUGACAUCCAUAAAAAUUCAUCAGAGAGCAUUUUACUACUGAGCUGCAAAGGGAAAAACUUAAAAUGGAUAUGAAAAGUGAAGAAAGUGAUCAUAGGAGAAAACCAUUUCAGAUGACAAGAGCACCUCAAAGGCAGCAGCCUCAAGGAGCAGCCAUGGCCCCAGACUUGUCGCACGGAUGCAGAAAACUUAAUGGAGGAGGCUGAGCAAAACAGAGCGUGACACUCCCAAUCAUCUGCAUGCUGGAAAUGAGGAAAUGGUUAUUGAAUGAUACAAGUGCUUUUCGAUCAUUUAGAAAGUUCUGUUUCCCAAGAUCUUUUUUUUUUUUUUUUUU